GUCCUCCCUUCCUCUUGGGGGCGCAAAUGCACACAACCGACGGAAUGUUGUCGGGUGGAGCAGCAACUACAACAUCCAGAGCAUUUACCGAAGAUUCCCAACUUGUUAUUUACCAUGUACACAUUUAGUUUGUCUUCAUUUGAUGACGAGGUCUGAUUGCUAAAGUUCUCACUGGCACAAUAGGAUUUGACAUCAGACCAUGGGAUGUACCAUACGCAGAAACACAGUGCAACAUCAUGAUGAGCCAUUCAACAGCAUCUGCGUAGCAUUUCCUUCAAGCAGUUGCAUGAGCAGUGUGAUAUUGGGUGGUAUACUGUGCAGUACGUGAGAGUCAUUCACUUCCCGAAGAUGCUGUGCAGGAAUGUUCUCAUCUCCUGCUCCCUGGCCAUCCUACUGGUAAAAGCUGACAGUGAUACAGGUAAUGCUCCAUUAAGAGCCUUGAAUAUCUUAUAGAGGCUGCAAGAACCCCAUAAUAGGCAGGACUGUUUUGUACCAAACUAACUUGUGUGAGCUAAUCAAAAGAACCUUGCUCUCCAAAUAAAUUCACAUGUAUUGAUAUAAAUCAUUGUGCCAUUGAUCGCUCCCUUAACCUGGGGAUGAAACCUACUUCUUCCA